CAGUAGCGUAUAUUAAAGUUGUUGCAGUUAAAAAGCUCGUAGUUGGACCUUGGGCCUGGACGGGCGGUCCGCCUCACGGCGUGUACUGUCUUGCCGGGCCUUUCCUCUUGGUGAUCUGUUGUUUCGGCAGCAGGGAACCAGGACCUUUACUUUGAAAAAAUUAGAGUGUUCAAAGCAGGCUCGACGCCGGAAUAUAUUAGCAUGGAAUAAUAAAAUAGGACGUGCGGUUCUAUUUUGUUGGUUUUUGGAAUCGCCGUAAUGAUUAAUAGGGACAGUCGGGGGCAUUAGUACUCACAUGCUAGAGGUGAAAUUCUUGGAUUUUGUGAAGACUAACUUCUGCGAAAGCAUUUGCCAAGGAUGUUUUCAUUAA
rnacentral:rRNA from 1 species